AUUUUGAACUGCAUGGUUCGAAAUUGAAAGGCGGCUUCGGCUGUCACUUAUGGAUGGACCCGCGUCGCAUUAGCUAGUUGGUGAGGUAACGGCUCACCAAGGCAACGAUGCGUAGCCGACCUGAGAGGGUGAUCGGCCACACUGGGACUGAGACACGGCCCAGACUCCUACGGGAGGCAGCAGUAGGGAAUCUUCCGCAAUGGACGAAAGUCUGACGGAGCAACGCCGCGUGAGUGAUGAAGGCUUUCGGGUCGUAAAACUCUGUUGUUAGGGAAGAACAAGUGCUAGUUGAAUAAGCUGGCACCUUGACGGUACCUAACCAGAAAGCCACGGCUAACUACGUGCCAGCAGCCGCGGUAAUACGUAGGUGGCAAGCGUUAUCCGGAAUUAUUGGGCGUAAAGCGCGCG
rnacentral:rRNA from 1 species